rnacentral:tRNA from 5 species
GCCCAGAUAGCUCAGUCGGUAGAGCGAUGGACUGAAAAUCCAUGCGUCGGGGGUUCAAUUCCCUCUCUGGGCA